GAUGAACGCUGGCGGCGUGCCUAAUACAUGCAAGUCGAGCGAAUGGAUUAAGAGCUUGCUCUUAUGAAGUUAGCGGCGGACGGGUGAGUAACACGUGGGUAACCUGCCCAUAAGACUGGGAUAACUCCGGGAAACCGGGGCUAAUACCGGAUAAUAUUUUGAACUGCAUGGUUCAAAAUUGAAAGGCGGCUUCGGCUGUCGCUUAUGGAUGGACCCGCGUCGCAUUAGCUAGUUGGUGAGGUAACGGCUCACCAAGGCAACGAUGCGUAGCCGACCUGAGAGGGUGAUCGGCCACACGGGGACUGAGACACAGCCCAGACUCCUACGGGAGGCAGCAGUAGGGAAUCUUCCGCAAUGGACGAAAGUCUGACGGAGCAACGCCGCGUGAGUGAUGAAGGCUUUCGGGUCGUAAAACUCUGUUGUUAGGGAAGAACAAGUGCUAGUUGAAUAAGCUGGCACCUUGACGGUACCUAACCAGAAAGCCACGGCUAACUACGUGCCAGCCGCCGCAGUAA
rnacentral:rRNA from 1 species